UCGGAGCAGGCGCAUGCGUGUUGAGUCGGCUCUUCAGCAUGGUUUCCUCGCUCCCUCUCUUGUCUCUGCUGUGGCUCCUGUCCAGUCCCAGGCUUCAGCUAGGAAGUACCGAGGCUCCCACCAUGGUCCAGCUGCCGGGUGGGAGGUUUCUGAUGGGCACAGAUGCACCAGAUGGCAGAGAUGGUGAAGGGCCUGCCCGGGAAGUGACGGUAAAACCCUUUGCCAUUGACGUAUUUCCAGUCACCAAUAAAGAUUUCAGGGAAUUUGUCCGGGAGAAAAAGUACCAGACUGAGGCUGAGGCCUUUGGGUGGAGCUUCGUCUUUGAGGAUUUUGUCUCCCCCGAGCUUAGAGAUCAAGGAAAUCAGAUGCCGUCUGUCCUCUGGUGGCUACCAGUGCAAAAGGCAUUUUGGAGGCAGCCUGCAGGUCCCGGCUCUGGCAUCCGAGAGAAACUGGAACUUCCGGUGGUACAUGUGAGCUGGAACGAUGCUGGCGCUUACUGCGCAUGGCGGGGAAAGCGGUUACCCACAGAAGAGGAGUGGGAGUUUGCGGCCAGAGGGGGCUUGAAGGGCCAGGUUUAUCCAUGGGGGAACCAGUUCCAGCCAAACCGCACCAACCUGUGGCAGGGAAAGUUCCCCAAGGGCGACAGAGCUGAAGACGGUUUUCAUGGACUGUCACCAGUGAAUGCUUUCCCCCCACAGAACAACUAUGGACUAUAUGACCUCAUGGGCAAUGUGUGGGAAUGGACGGCAUCCACGUACCAGUCUGCUGGCCAGGACAUGCGUGUCCUCCGGGGGGCAUCAUGGAUCGACACAGCAGACGGCUCGGCCAAUCACCGGGCUCGGGUCACCACCAGGAUGGGCAACACUCCAGAUUCCGCCUCAGACAACCUGGGCUUCCGCUGCGCCUCCAGCACAGGCCGACUGAAGGAGGAUCUGUGAGCCUCCAGGGCGGCAUGGAGAGAGCCCCACUGAGUACUGUGUGCAUCCCUGAUCAUGUUCCAGAGGCAUCCAGAUACCGAGCUCUUCCUCAGCCUGUGGGUGGCUUCUCUAUAAGCCCCUUCUCUCUGGCAGACGUCUCUUAAGGGCAGAACACUCAACCCAAGAGCUUUCACUUCUCCUGGGAAAGCCUGUAGAAGGAAAGUUCUUCCUUGUGUGAUGGUGCCUAAGGCCCCUCUGAGGGGACCCCUGGCCUCCCUGUCGGUUGUUUGAAACAGCGUGCUCACCAUGUGACAAGGCUGUCUGGAAUUCUCAGUCCUCUGACCUCAGCUUCCUGAGUGCCGGGUUUAUACACAGUGCCCAAAUAUUAAAACGCUCUGGUAGAGCAAACAAUUUACCAGGUGAUGCUGUGCAUUGUGGGAGUAACAAGACCCGUGCUCCUCUAGGAAGACAAAUGUCAGAGACUUCUCCUCUGAGUGUUAACCAUGGGAGGGCAUCCUCUGCAAAGAUGUCCCGGGAGAGACUGGAUCCUGUGGUGUCAUUGGAUCUCAAGAGGUCAAUAAACUCUGUAUUUAUAUAUA